UACGAAGGGUGCUAGCGUUGUUCGGAAUCAUUGGGCGUAAAGCGUGCGUAGGCGGCUUAGUAAGUCGACUGUGAAAGCCCAGGGCUUAACCUUGGAAUUGCAGUCGAAACUACUAGACUUGAGUAUGGCGGGGGAUAGUGGAAUUCUUAGUGUAGGGGUGAAAUCCGUAGAUAUUAAGAGGAACACCAGUGGCGAAGGCGACUAUCUACACCAUUACUGACGCUGAGGCACGAAAGCGUGGGGAGCAAACAGG
rnacentral:rRNA from 1 species